AACGAACGCUGGCGGCGUGCCUAACACAUGCAAGUCGAGCGCGAAAGGAGCAAUCCGAGUAGAGCGGCGCACGGGUGCGUAACACGUGGAUAAUCUGCCUCAGGGUUGAGGAUAACCUUCCGAAAGGUUGGCUAAUACUCGGUAGGCUUACGGUGACUUCGGUCGCUGUGAGAAAACUAGACCUCUAUUUAUAAGUUUAGGCCCAGAGAUGAGUCCGCGGCCCAUCAGCUAGUUGGCGGGGUAACGGCCCACCAAGGCUACGACGGGUAGCUGGUCGGGGAGGACGAUGAGCCACACUGGAACUGAGACACGGUCCAGACUGCUACGGGAGGCAGCAGUGGGGAAUUUUCCACAAGGGGCGAAAGCCUGAUGGAGCAACGCCGCGUGUGUGAUGAAGGUCUUCGGAUCGUAAAGCACUUUCGACUGGGACGAAAAACCUUUGGCUAACAUCCAGGGGCCUGACGGUACCAGGAGAAGAAGCAUCGGCUAACUCUGUGCCAGCCGCCGCAGUAAAAC
rnacentral:rRNA from 1 species